rnacentral:lncRNA from 1 species
GGGAGGAGCCAACUUCCCCCAAAGCUCUGGCUGCAUCCGAGCGGGGUGCUUACCCGAAGGAAGUGCUGGGAGCUAGAGGGAGGCAGGAGGGGAAGGAGUGCUUGGUGGCAGACCCCACUGUCUGCUCUCGGAAAUGGGAGUCGGAGCAAGCCACCCUGAGCUGAUAACGAAGCCUCUCCUCCUGCCUCCGUCACUGGGCUGGCCCUGCGCUGGGUGCCAGGAUUGCUUCGGGGCGCAGAGCCUCGCCAGCAGGAGCAGCGCCUAAGAGGCCACCGGGGAGCAGAAGCUCAGCGAAGCUGAGGGACGCCCGCAGGAGGAACAUGCCUUGGACACUGGAAUCAGGGAGCCCCCCAGGAGCUGUGUGGCCUUAAGCAUAUUUCUUCCUGCUCUGAGCCUCAUCCAUAAACUGAGAACAGAAGUGGCGCCUCCAGGGGCGUAGGCCCUCCCCUCCUCUCUAAUAUGGACAAGCGAUUUCCCCAAUCCUGGGUAAAGGGCUGGAAAAACCUCAAGCCCUAUUCCAAGCAGACUGCCCUCCUAAGUGUCUCCACCCCCAAGUCUGGAGCUUCCGCAGAUCUCUUAUAAAGAGAUUAUGAAGACUGAAUGAGCAUGGAAAAUGCUUACCACUGCGUCUGGACCUAAGAAGCACCCAACCCUGGCCACGAUUAUUAUGACCUGAUGUGCAGUCUUCAAUAGCUCUGUGCCUCAGUUUCCCCAUCUGCAAAAUGGGGGUAACAAUAACACAAGAUCUCCUAGGGUGGGGCUUAAGUGAGCUGUUCUAGGAAAAACACGCAACACAGUGCCUGGUCCGUAGGAAAGUCUCCGUAAAUGUUGGCCAGUAAGUAGUUAAAUGUGGAAAUAAUUAAACAAUUGAGAGGCAGUGGUGCCUGGUGAAAAUAACGUGGUCUGUAAUUUCACAUAGACUGUGUCCAGGUUUUACCGCUUAUUAGCUUUUAGUAGAAAAGUUCUGCACCCUCUGGGAGCCAUCGUUUCUUCUCUUCCAAAUGGGGACCAUGAU